CCCACUUAAAACGUAGCCGUUCGGCCACUUGGGUCUUUUGGAACAGCCCACCACUUUAGUGGUAGUUUUUUGAAAAAUUAAAAAAAGCGGUAGUUUUUUGGAACGGUAGCCCGUAAUAUGGUAGAUUUUUGCUAUUCACUCUUUUUUUGGCAUCUCAAUAAGAACAUCUUUGUUUUAGUCCAUGAGUUCUUUCAUGCGGCAACUUUUUUUUCCUGUGAGCUAUAAAUAAAUGUCAAAUAUUAUCAACCUAAGCAACUUAUUUACUCCUCUGUCGCAAAUUAACUGAUAGACAAAUGGCAACCAUACUGUAUAGAUUUCACUUUUAACCUAUUGGUUGAUGUUAUUAUUGUUGGCCUAUAAGUAACUUAGUUCUGUUUCAUCAGUCAAUCGACUGACAGGCCCCACCCUGCUUUAUUCAAAGAAAAAGAUAAAGAUAAAGAGGAAGAAUCAGACAGCUCAAUCUUUCUUCUUUUAAUCGGUUCAAGCCUCAAGCAAAGAACCAUCUUCAGAUGCUUGCUUUGGCCAGAACCAGAACUAAAGCCAAAGACCAAACACAAGCAUACCUCUUUAAUUGCUUCUUCUGCAACCUCAAGAAAGUCUCCAUUCAUCCAUUGUAUUGUUCCUCCUUGGUCUCGCCACAGGAUUGUGCCAGCCAGCCUACUUUCCGAUUAAGCAGGUGGGAGCUGCAAAUUGAUUCAUCUGGAGGUGCAGAUUGAUCAAUGGGUUAGAUUUGUGGAUCUUCUUGUCUCUGCAAGGCUUUCAUUCAAACAUUACUAAGUCAUCAUGCCUCGACAGAGGAUUGGUCCGGAGACCGUCGAAGAAGCGGUGCACCAGAUAAUCCCUUAUCUAGAGGAUAUGAGCAGUACUGCACACAAGGCCAUCUAUUAUGAUGGAUGGCGUGGGUUGUCUGCUUCGGCGGUGCUUAGAGCCAUUGCUCAAGACCCUCCGCCAUCUCUGUUGAAGAAAUUCAACAAGAUUGUCCACGUCGAUUGCUCGAGGUGGAAAAGCCGAAGAGCACUCCAAAGGACAAUCGCACAAGAACUGAAGCUUCCUCAGCGGGUAAUGGAUAUUUUUGAUAGGCAAGAUGAAGAAGAUAAUUUCAGUG